GCCGCAAAACCGCCGCCUGGUCGGCUCUCGGUCUACCCCGCCCACCUGUCUGCCCGCCCAGCGGCCAGCGCCUCCUCCGCCAUGGGAGUGCAGGUGGAGACCAUCUCCCCUGGAGACGGGCGCACCUUCCCGCAGCGCGGCCAGACCUGCGUGGUGCACUACACGGGGACGCUGGAAGAUGGAAAGAAAUUUGACUCCUCUCGGGACAGAAACAAACCCUUUAAGUUCGUGCUGGGCAAGAAGCAGGUGAUCCGAGGCUGGGACGAAGGGAUUGCCCAAAUGAGCGUGGGUCAGAGAGCCAAGCUGACUGUCUCCCCAGACUACGGGUAUGGUGCAAGAGGGCACCCAGGCAUCAUCCCACCAAAUGCUACUCUCAUCUUUGACGUGGAGCUUCUAAGAGUGGAAUGAUACGACUGGCCUCCUUCCUGAAGUCCCUAUUCUCUGAUGUGCCAUGGAAAGACAGGGCGCCUCCAGCUACCUACAAGACUGUAUGGAGCUUCUCCUGAUGCUCCACUACACUCUUCCCGUAAACAUCUUCCCUAGUUGAAUGCGUUCUGUCACUAGCUUCACUAUUCCCCCUUCCUCCUCAUAUGUGUGCUGACCUGAACGAGAUGCCAUAAACCUCAAGUUACUCAU